rnacentral:rRNA from 1 species
AUACGGAGGGUGCAAGCGUUAUUCGGAAUCACUGGGCGUAAAGGACGCGUAGGCGGUCUAUUAAGUCAGAUGUGAAAUCCCAGGGCUCAACCUUGGAACUGCAUCUGAUACUGGUAGACUAGAGUUUUGGAGAGGGAAGUAGAAUUUCAGGUGUAGCGGUGAAAUGCAUAGAGAUCUGAAGGAAUACCAGUGGCGAAGGCGACUUCCUGGCCAAAAACUGACGCUGAGGUGCGAAAGCGUGGGUAGCAAACGGGAUUAGAAACCCUAGUAGUCC